CUUAUUGUGUACAAGUAAAAGAACAAAAAUAUUGUAUAUACCAGUGGUUCUACUGAGACCCCAAUAGUCUUCCAUGUUUGCCAUACGGUGGCCACUACUAAACUGCGGCAACGGACUUUUCAAAAAAUUGCUAGUUUUUUCCGACGACAGCGACGACUACGACGACGAUGUUAACGUAUCUAUAGUCGUUCGAAUAAUGGAUGGUGAAAAUAACGACUAACGACUGCAAUGGAGUAGGAAAAAGCAUCGCAAGCAAUUGUAUUUUAGUGAUAUUGUAUAGUGAGUUCGGCUUUUAUACAAUGUCCGUAUACCAUCAGUUUACUUUGGCUUAAUUAAGAUCAUCGUUCUGACAGACACCGGGGUUGGUCAACCUAAAUUGAAUAAAUUGAUAAAAACGAAUAAUUGUUGUUAGUUCUUUUUGACAAGACUGCAAGACCAUACUCUCAGAAAGAAGAAAAGGAAGACAAAGAAUCGAUAUUAAGUUUAUAUCGAUUGUGCGGAUAGAAGACGUACUUAAAAAUUCACGUAAUUUUUCGGAGAGUUUAUUCAUAUUUUCAGUUGAAAAAAUAAGAGCAGUUGUAUACAUCUGUCGUUCUUUAAAGAAUAUUUGUCUUUGCAUAUGUCCAAGGAACAAAAAGCUACGGUUACGACGGCCAAGAGUGUCUCCUGAAAGCGGUUUGUGAAUCCAGUUUUUUUAAAUUCUCAAAUCGAGCCUCUGUCUUGGGUGAACUUAUGCAUAUUUUACUAACGCCAACAUCCACGCAUGAUAC